rnacentral:tRNA from 1 species
GUUAGGCCGAGUGGUUAUGGCGCAAGUAUGUCUUACUUGUGGACUUUGUCCGCGUGGGUUCGAGUCCCACCCUCAUCAACA